rnacentral:rRNA from 1 species
UGCCAGACUCCUACGGGAGGCAGCAGUGAGGAAUAUUGGUCAAUGGGCGGGAGCCUGAACCAGCCAAGCCGCGUGAGGGAAGAAGGUACAGCGUAUCAUAAACCUCUUUUGUCAGGGAACAAAGGCGGGGACGUGUCCCCGGAUGAGUGUACCUGAAGAAAAAGCAUCGGCUAACUCCGUGCCAGCAGCCGCGGUAAUACGGAGGAUGCGAGCGUUAUCCGGAUUUAUUGGGUUUAAAGGGUGCGCAGGCGGUCUGUUAAGUCAGCGGUCAAAGCCCGGGGCUCAACCCCGGCCCACCGUUGAAACUGGCAGUCUCGAGUUGGAGAGAAGUAUGCGGAAUGCGCGGUGUAGCGGUGAAAUGCAUAGAUAUCGCGCAGAACUCCGAUUGCGAAGGCAGCAUGCCGGCUCCACACUGACGCUGAGGCACGAAAGCGUGGGUAUCGAACAGGAUUAGAUACCCGGGUA